rnacentral:rRNA from 1 species
GACGAACGCUGGCGGCGUGCCUAAUACAUGCAAGUAGAACGCAGUUGCGAACGGGUGAGUAACGCGUAGGUAACUGCCUGGUAGCGGGGGAUAACUAUUGGAAACGAUAGCUAAUACCGCAUACUACCAGAUGGACCUGCGUUGUAUUAGCUAGUUGGUGGGGUAACGGCUCACCAAGGCAACGAUACAUAGCCGACCUGAUGGGGUGUUUGGCCAAACUGGGACUGAUACACCGCCCCGACUCCUACGGGAGGCGGCAGUAGGGACGCUUCGGCAAUGGGGGGAACCCUGAACGAGCAACGGCGCGGGAGUGAAGAAGGUUUUCGGAUCGUAACGCUUUGUUUUUUAGGAAGCGGUACUUAACCAGAAAGGGACGGCUAACUACGUGCCAGCAGCCGCGGUAAUUC